ACUACUCCUGUCUUGUGAUGCUGCGGAGCUUAGUUCUCCUGUAUGCCAACGGGCGCUGCUGGGCACCUAGAGAACAGAGACGGUUGCAGAUGAGGCAGGCGAUCGCGGGCUUUAGGGGUACCCUCUGUGGAGCAGAGGGGUCCUGGAAGCUCCUAAAAAAGAGUCAGGCUGGUGGUAUCACCAGCCUAAAUGACUUUGCCUGGUUCCUACAAAUCUGCUGCCCUUCCACAUGCUCAGCUCCUGUUCCUCCUGCAGGACCCCACUGAAUGCUCUGCACCCCUGAGAAGACGCCUCUAUCAUACGCUCCUCACCGACUUUGAGGCUCACUCUCCCUCUGAGGGAUGGAACCCAGGACCUCGUGUGUGGCAAGCAAGCACUGUGCUGCUGACCUGUACCCAGCCUACCCUUCUAUUUCCUACCUGUCCCUCCUAUGAAGAAGAUAGACUCUAGCCUGGAGAAUGGCCCCACCUCCACUGCCUGGGAUGGGGAAGUGAAGAGUGGCCGUCCUCCAUUGUAACAGCUGUCCUCUUAGAACCACUUUGCUUGGCUCUGGGAUCCUGGCUCUCUCCUGUACAGCCCCACGGGAAGCUCCCCACACCUCUCACAUGAGGACCGAAGUAUGCUUGGAGAGGUUCCAUCUCCCCAGUGGGGCUUAUGUCCUCUGUGGGGUGGACAGUAUUAGGUACUCACUCCAGAGAUGGACACCGUGCCCUGCUUCUGGGCCUGAGGUGAGAGGAUUUGGCAUGUACACUGUGGGAACAGAGCCAACACAAAGGCAUGCCUUGU
rnacentral:lncRNA from 1 species